rnacentral:misc_RNA from 1 species
UUUCCGUAGGUGAACCUGCGGAAGGACCAUUCGUAAUAAAGUGUUUUAUGGCACUUUUUAAAAAUCCAUAUCCACCUUGUGUGCAAUGUUAGAUCUCGUCAAUCUUGGCGAGAUUUUUAUACAUCAACUCAUUCUUUAACUAAUUUGUCUGAAAAAUAUUAUGAAUACUUAAUUCAAAAUACAACUUUCAACAACGGAUCUCUUGGCUCUC